rnacentral:lncRNA from 1 species
UUACUGCUCUAAUCAUUAACCAGCCUGCUGCAUUAUCUAUGAAAAUUGCUUGGUAAUAUUUAUGAAAUGUGACCUUUGUUAAUUCAAUGUUACCAAGUGUUGGAUUCAUUCUGUUUGCAAGUGGAACAGAUUUCCAAAUCACUCUGCAAUUAGUACAGUUUGAUCUAACCAGCCUAUCUCUGCAUGGGGUAGGCUUCUCCUGAAACAGCAGGAUCGCUGUCAGGAAUGAAAUGUGUUUUCCGUACGGCUGGGACACCUGCUUGCACUACAUCAUCUUUGGCAAAGGAAACAAACAUCCUCUGGGUUAAAGCAGGAGCUGGAGAGCCACAGAGACACCACCCUCAUGUUCUGCUCCUAGUGUGGAAACAGAAAGGGAGGUUGGGACAGAUUUGGGACAGGACAGGCAGCAGGUCCUCAUCCAGGACAGGAUAGUGCAGCUGCCCUGCAGACAGCACAGCUCUACCAGGCCAAGGCUUCUUCUCAGGAGGAAAGUGCUCACGUCCUCACAACAGUCCUGCCUUUCAAACUGGUGUUUUAACACUUUUCCUAUAUAUGAACUAGUAACCAUAUUAACCUACAGGACCUGAGUAAUUUGAUGUCAAAGCAGCAGCACAGGCUGCAGAAAACUCCGUCCAUGCCCUGCUGCAGUCAGUCCUCCAAGGCUGCAUGGUGCCUGCAAGCCUGGCCAGCAGUGCUUGAUGAACCUGCCCUCUUCCUUUGCCCUUGACAACGUGCCAGAGAACAGAAGAGAUGCUAAGGAAACAAAUGUUGCCUGUGAAUGACAUGGGUUUCUUGGCAUGUGGCACUCAUGGCCAGAACUCACCAGAAUCAGGAAUUCCUCCUUCCUCCAUGUCACUCUGCUGUUUCCCAAGGAAAAAGAAUACAGACAUUUGAACAAGGAAAUCCAAGCUAGAGACCUGUAUAGGCUGUUAUGAUGUGGGAACUGGGGGGAAAAGGGCACUGUAAGUACUGGUACCAUGGGCUGCAGCAUUCCCUGCUAGCAGCAGUAGGCUCCAACAGGCUGCACUCACCACCUGCCCACCUACCCUGCAGAUUCAGUUCUUUGGAUGCCCUUCCCAUUUCCCAAAAUUGUUAUUGAAUGUGGGAAAAUUUGGAAAGGGUUAAAUCAUGUGGUCUGAAGCAACUGGCAAGAAGGAGAAGAUUUGAGAGUGAACAUGUGAAACCAGGGAGAAGGGGAACAAGCAGCUGCACUGAUGGGCUGAACUCAGCCUCUCCAGGUGUCCCAGGAACACAAACAUGUGCCAGUCAACGGACAGGCAGUGAAUGUGGAACUCAGAAAUGAGGGAGCAACAGCACAGGCAUAGCUGCUCUCUGGCU